UGCUGCCGAUCUCCAGCGUCGGUCCUUUCAGUUUCUUUCUUGAGGGAGGUUUCUCACCAGCACUGUAGAUGUCCAUGUACCACAAUAGGUUGAGAAGCUGUAAAGAAAAAGCCAUAUCUCAGACUGGCCAAUGAAAAGAAAAGAACACAGCCACUGGACAGAGGAACUCUGCCUAGAAGGCCAGCAUCCCGGAGACGCCUCUUGACUGUUGACAUUGAAACUGACCCCAGGAAGACCAGCUUUCAUCAUGGCAUCAGCUAAUGAGGAUCCUGUCACGGCUGUUGAAAGGAGAGGACCAAGGUGCAGCGUGGUGAGUGUACAUUUUCGUUUAUUUAAUCAAAAUGACACCGAACAACACAAAUAACACUACAAAAACAAACCGUGAAGCUCAAAGGCUUCCCACAAAGAAAGGAGGGGAAAAAGGCUACCUAAGUAUGGUUCCCAAUCAGAGACAACGAUAGACAGCUGUCCCUGAUUGAGAACCAUACCCGGCCAAAACAUAGAAACACUAAAUCGUAGAAAACGAAACAUAGAAUGCCCACCCCAAAUCACACCCUGACCAAACCAAAUAGAGACAUUAAAAGGCUCUCUACGUUCAGGGCGUGACAGAUCCUAAAAAAAAUCUAAAUCAAAUCAAACGUGUGCCACGGGUUGAUUCACUGUUGUGGUCAUCCUGUCUGGGUUGGCGCCCCCCCCUUGGUUUGUGCCGUGGCGGAGAUCUUUGUGGGCUAUACUCAGCCUUGUCUCAGGAUGGUAAAUUGGUGGUUGAAGAUAUCCCUCUAGUGGUGUGGGGGCUGUGCUUUGGCAAAGUGGGUGGGGUUAUAUCCUUC
ensembl:lncRNA